UACGAAGGGGGCUAGCGUUGCUCAGAAUCACUGGGCGUAAAGGGUGCGUAGGCGGGUCUUUAAGUCCGGGGUGAAAUCCUGGAGCUCAACUCCAGAACUGCCUUUGAUACUGAGGAUCUUGAGUUCGGGAGAGGUGAGUGGAACUGCGAGUGUAGAGGUGAAAUUCGUAGAUAUUCGCAAGAACACCAGUGGCGAAGGCGGCUCACUGGCCCGAUACUGACGCUGAGGCGCGAAAGCUAGGGGAGCAAACAGG
rnacentral:rRNA from 1 species